GAUGAACGCUGGCGGCGUGCCUAAUACAUGCAAGUCGAGCGAACAGACGAGGAGCUUGCUCCUCUGACGUUAGCGGCGGACGGGUGAGUAACACGUGGAUAACCUACCUAUAAGACUGGGAUAACUUCGGGAAACCGGAGCUAAUACCGGAUAAUAUAUUGAACCGCAUGGUUCAAUAGUGAAAGACGGUUUUGCUGUCACUUAUAGAUGGAUCCGCGCCGCAUUGGCUGGUUGGUAAGGUAACGGCUUACCAAGGCAACGUUGCGUAGCCGACCUGAGAGGGGGUAGGGCCCCAGGGAAGGUGAGCGACGUCCAGGACACUGAGGGAGGGCGCAGGUGGGAAAGCUACGCAACGGGGGGAAAUCUUGACGAAGGAGCGCGAGGUGGGUGAUGAAGGGCUGCGAUCGGUAAAACGCUGUAUUAGGGAAGAACAAAUGUGUAAGUAACUAUGCACGUCUUGACGGUACCUAAUCAGAAAGCCACGGCUAACUACGUG
rnacentral:rRNA from 1 species